UACAGAGGUCUCAAGCGUUGUUCGGAUUCAUUGGGCGUAAAGGGUGCGUAGGCGGCGCGGUAAGUCGGGUGUGAAAUCUCGGAGCUUAGCUCCGAAACUCCAUUCGAUACUGCCGUGCUUGAGGACUGGAGAGGAGACUGGAAUUUACGGUGUAGCGGUGAAAUGCGUAGAUAUCGUAAGGAAGACCAGUGGCGAAGGCGGGUCUCUGGACAGUUCCUGACGCUGAGGCACGAAGGUCAGGGGAGCAAACGGG
rnacentral:rRNA from 1 species